rnacentral:rRNA from 1 species
GUGAGGAAUAUUGGGCAAUGGAGGCAACUCUGACCCAGCCAUGCCGCGUGCAGGAUGACGGCCCUCUGGGUUGUAAACUGCUUUUAUACGGGAAGAAAAAAUACUACGUGUAGUAUACUGACGGUACCGUAAGAAUAAGGAUCGGCUAACUCCGUGCCAGCAGCCGCGGUAAUACGGAGGAUCCAAGCGUUGUCCGGAUUUAUUGGGUUUAAAGGGUGCGUAGGCGGAUCUUUAAGUCAGUGGUGAAAGCCUGCAGCUUAACUGUAGAAUUGCCAUUGAAACUGAAGAUCUUGAAUGUGGUUAAAGUAGGCGGAAUGUAUCAUGUAGCGGUGAAAUGCUUAGAUAUGAUACAGAACACCGAUAGCGAAGGCAGCUUGCUGAACCAUUAUUGACGCUGAGGCACGAAAGCGUGGGGAGCGAACAGGAUUAGAUACCCUGGUAGUCC